CCUACGGGAGGCAGCAGUGGAGGAUCUUGCACAAUGGGGGGAACCCUGAUGCUGCGACGCCGCGUGGGUGAAGAAGCGCCUCGGCGCGUAAAGCCCUGUCAGCAGGGAAGAAAAUGACGGUAACUGAAGAAGAAGCCGCGGCUAACUACGUGCCAGCAGCCGCGGUAGUACGUAGGGGGCAAGCGUUAUCCGGAUUUACUGGGUGUAAGGGGGGCGCAGACGGCGAUGCAAGCCAGGAGUGAAAGCCCGGGGCCCAACCCCGGGACGGCUCUUGGAACUGCGUGGCUGGAGUGCAGGAGGGGCAGGCGGAAUUCCUGGUGUAGCGGUGAAAUGCGUAGAUAUCAGGAGGAACACCGGUGGCGAAGGCGGCCUGCUGGACUGCAACUGACGUUGAGGCCCGAAAGCGGGGGGAGCAAACAGGAUUAGAUACCCGAGUAGUC
rnacentral:rRNA from 1 species